GGGCGGCAGUAAUAGCGGAUUUCGUAACAUGAAAGCUCCUCUUUUUGAUCACUGACGACAACAGACGAGACUGACUUACGCGCUGAGUGAAAACGGCAACUCAAGACAACGAUGUGCGGAAGCCGCGUAGGAUGACAACUGGAACUCAAACUGUUUAAAUCUUUCUAUGCUGGA